rnacentral:rRNA from 1 species
UACGGAGGGUGCAAGCGUUAAUCGGAAUUACUGGGCGUAAAGCGUGCGCAGGCGGUAAUGCAAGACAGAUGUGAAAUCCCCGGGCUUAACCUGGGAACUGCAUUUGUGACUGCAUUGCUGGAGUGCGGCAGAGGGGGAUGGAAUUCCGCGUGUAGCAGUGAAAUGCGUAGAUAUGCGGAGGAACACCGAUGGCGAAGGCAAUCCCCUGGGCCUGCACUGACGCUCAUGCACGAAAGCGUGGGGAGCAAACAGG